rnacentral:rRNA from 1 species
AGUAAGACACCGGGAUGCCCAGUAACGGCGAGUGAAGCGGCAAAAGCUCAAAUUUGGAAUCCUGCGGGAGUUGUAAUUUGAAGACCGCGAGGCGGCCGCGCGGCCCCGUGCAAGUCCAUUGGAACAUGGCGCCAAGGAGGGUGAGAGCCCCGUGGCACGGCGGCAGUGCGGCCACUCAGCUUCGCGGCCAAAGAGUCGAGUUGUUUGGGAAUGCAGCUCCAAGUGGGUGGUAAAUUCCAUCUAAAGCUAAAUACAGGCGAGAGACCGAUAGCGAACAAGUACAGUGAUGGAAAGAUGAAAAGCACUUUGAAAAGAGAGUGAAACAGUACGUGAAAUUGUUGGAAGGGAAGGGCUUGCAAGCAGACACAACCUCGGUUGGGCCAGCAUCGGGGCGGCGGAGAGCAAAACGGGCGGUGAAUGUGGCGCCACUCCUUCUGGGGGUGGCGUAGUUAUAGCGCCGCCAAAUGCCCUCACGGCGCCCCGAGGCCAGCGCAUUCGCAAGGAUGCGGCGG